UACGUAGGGGGCUAGCGUUGUCCGGAUUUAUUGGGCGUAAAGAGCGUGUAGGCGGCCAGAUAGGUCUGCUGUGAAAACUCGAGGCUUAACCUCGAGCUGUCGGCGGAAACCAUCUGGCUAGAGUCCGGAAGAGGAGAAUGGAAUUCCCGGUGUAGCGGUGAAAUGCGCAGAUAUCGGGAAGAACACCCGUGGCGAAGGCGGCUCUCUGGGACGUCCCUGACACUGAGGCGCGAAAGCGUGGGGAGCAAACAGG
rnacentral:rRNA from 1 species